UCCGGUUUGUCACCGGCAGUCUCGCGUGAGUCCCCAACUUAAUGCUGGCAACACGCGACAAGGGUUGCGCUCGUUGCGGGACUUAACCCAACAUCUCACGACACGAGCUGACGACAGCCAUGCAGCAUCUGUGGUGCACCCUCGAAGGUCACACGUUUCCGUGCGCUUGCAGCACCAUGUCAAGCCCAGGUAAGGUGGGGAUGACGUAUGCGUAACAGAA
rnacentral:misc_RNA from 1 species